AUUGAACGCUGGCGGCAGGCCUAACACAUGCCAGUCGAGCGGAUGAAGGGAGCUUGCUCCUGGAUUCAGCGGCGGACGGGUGAGUAAUGCCUAGGAAUCUGCCUGGUAGUGGGGGAUAACGUCCGGAAACGGGCGCUAAUACCGCAUACGUCCUGAGGGAGAAAGUGGGGGGUCUUCGGACCUCACGCUAUCAGAUGAGCCUAGGUCGGAUUAGCUAGUUGGUGGGGUAAAGGCCUACCAAGGCGACGAUCCGUAACUGGUCUGAGAGGAUGAUCAGUCACACUGGAACUGAGACACGGUCCAGACUCCUACGGGAGGCAGCAGUGGGGAAUAUUGGACAAUGGGCGAAAGCCUGAUCCAGCCAUGCCGCGUGUGUGAAGAAGGUCUUCGGAUUGUAAAGCACUUUAAGUUGGGAGGAAGGGCAGUAAGUUAAUACCUUGCUGUUUUGACGGUACCAACAGAAUAAGCACCGGCUAACUUCGUG
rnacentral:rRNA from 1 species